AAGACUGCCUCCUCCGGCCAGUCCUGCAGGACGGCCAGCCGGGGCCUGUUUCCUGAGCCGUUGCCUGGAUACGGAAAACUAUGAGAACAUGGGGGAUGAUAGCUUGGCCUCCUACACAAGGGACAGGAACGGCUCAGUCUGACCAUAAGCUUAUUUCCUUUAAAGGAGGUGACAUGAGCCAAGGGCCUCUUUCCCUCCCUGUUCCUAAUAUGAUACUGUAACCAGGCCGAGAUGAUAGGGUGUGCUGGAAAUGGGGGCGCUUUGCCCUGUGGCUCACAGAAAAGGAGGAGCCUCCUGUGGACUGCCCCCUAGACUACAACUGAUGGGCCACAGACCCUAAAGGAAAGAAGUGCCAGGGCCCUGGCCCUGCAGCUCUUUGGGGAACUAACAAGCUCCAGGUGCAUCUGACACUGAAGGAAACCCAGGUCGCCGCCCCUUCCAUCCGUGACUGUCAGGCCUCUAUGCAUGCCGUGGACCUAAUUCUAAGCCACGGGAAUGACCUGGCGACUAGACGUUAUACGUGGGGGGAGGGGGGAGGGGGGAGAGACAAGCUAGUCAGCUUAGCUACGUGGUGUCAGUUAAGAACCUCUUCAUCGCUGUGUUCCUCUGCAAACAUGCAACUGGUUUUAAAAAGAGGAAUGGAAAUGUUCUCCCCACAGGCCGGGCCCACAUUUACAGCCACAUGCCUCUGUGUUCAUCCAUCCUGUACCUGUGGCGAUGGCCCUGGGUAUUCUUCCUCAACACGUGGCACAGAACAGUUUCCUCUUGGACACAGCGGUGACAGAGGUCAUAGCACCAGAGUCCCUUACUAAGAGUAUGCCCCUCGAAGCUCCCAGAAACAGCAGCAGCAGCAGCAGCAGCAGCAGCAGCAGCAGAUAUCUGCAGAUUCCCAGAGCCUAGAGUUGGAUUAUUUCUUAAGGUCUCCCCUUCUUGACCCUACAGCUUCCUGGGCAUCUGUAUAACUUUACCUGCAUCUCUCCAACUCUGAGGGACUGCCGGAAUCGGCCCUGGACCCUCUCACUGCACUGUACUAGGGUGCUCAGCUGGCUCACAUCAUUCCUCUCCCUUGCUCAGGACCACAGCACUGUGUCAAGAGCAUCUGACGUCUGAAAACUACCGCCACGACCCAGGCCAUUGUUCUGCAGGAACUCCAGUGGAUGACAAGGAUCAGGGUCCUCGACCUCUCUGAGCCUCAAGUGUCCUCUCCUCUAAGGUUGGUAUGAAGUUUAACUGAGAUGCAAAACUAUCUUGGACCAUAUUUUGACCAGUGCCGUAUACGAGCAUAAGUAACUUACUAUCUAACAGCACAAACAGGCCAUCUUAUAGAAGGAGCCCAGGAACGGCACCAGUACUCUUGACACCUAGAGCGGUCAACUAUUUUUGUGGGAAAGGGUUGUCUCUUUUUUAGAAAUAGGGAGAAAAAUUGCUUCUAUUUUAGCAAAGACAAAAUCUGUCAUUCUACCUACAGUCUUGUUCCAACAGGUCUGAGGCUUCCAGAGUAACAACAACAACAACAAAAAGUCAAAACUUUAAGUCUGUGUGAAAAUGACCUGACUCCAUCUCAGGCCUGCUGAGUGAGCUUUGAGCAGGUUACCAAACCACUCUGAAGAAAGGCCCUGGCUUAUUGUAAGCCUGUUUGUGGGUGCUGGGCCAGCCAUUGGUCUCCGAUAAACUAAAUCCUUACAAGUGAGGCCAUUGCUUGUCUGUAGAGGGAACUAUCUGGACCAAUCGUUCCACUCUGACAUCUCAGAAUAGACUUUUAAAAAUAUCCCUUCAUGUGCCUCCUGUGAACAUGAAGCUUUCGGCUCUUCUCCCGCCGAGGACUGAAGUGGGGCCGGCUAGAGCAACCCACUGGCUCCCAGCCUGGAGCAAUAUCCCUGCUGCUGCUGAGUCAAUGCACAGCAUGCUGGGACCGCCUGGCUAAUCCUGUGGGUGUGGCCACCUCACACAGGCCAGCCCAGGCUGCCUGGCACUGUCUGCUGACAGGCCCUAAGCAAUAGAACAGCAGAAGCCAAGUGGGAACAUGUGUUUGUACUGCCAGUCUCCAUGGCAACAGGUAAGUCAGCACAGAGAACAUCCUCAAACUGGCAGAAAAACCCUCAGCCCCACCCUGAAAAGCCUCCCCUCCCUGGGCAGCCAGCAGAUCCCCAAGGCUAAAUCCCUAGCGGAAAAGCCAAAUGCACAGAUAUUUUGCACAAACAUACAGCUUAUUCCCAAAUGUCUUUCCCUCCUAAAAUGUACAGGUAACUUGACCGGCACAGAUACAUCUCUGGAUGUAUCUUUGGCUUGGUGGAAAUGUCUAGAGAGCCAAAGGUUAUGCAUAGUUCUGGGCAUGCUCUUAGUAGAGUAAGUACAGGGAAGAUGGAAAAGCAUCCUCUGCUCCAUGCUGAGCUGACGCAGGCCAGAAUUUCAAGACAGUAAGCAACUAUACAGAGAGACAUCUUCAGUGCAGAGAAAUGAUCUCAUUAAAAAAAAAAACCUGGCCGGGCGGUGGUGGCGCACGCCUUUAA